AUAAAAAGUGCAGGACUGAAAGGAAACUAUUUUACGUCCAAAUUAACAUGUUUGUAAUCAUAUGUGCUGUUCUGAUCUCUCUGGCCAUGGAACCAGUUCUGGGACAGACACUGGAGCAAAAAGAUUUCUCCAUGACCAAAGAUGAGGGCAAAACUGUGUAUAUCAGCUGCAAGGUGACCGGAUUGUCUUCUAGCAAUUAUGUCCACUGGUACCAAAAGAAAGAAGGAGAAGCUCUCACAAGGAUCCUGUAUGUCAAAAGUGGAAGCCUGGAACCGGUUCAUGAUGCUAACUUUCAUGAAGCACGGGAAUUUGGUGUGAGGACACAGUCUAAUAAUUAUGACCUGAAAAUAGACCUAAAGAAAAAGCACUCUGCAGUUUAUUACUGCGCCAGCUGGGAUAAUGACGACCACAGUGACAGUAAAUAUUAA